CCUCCCAUUUCUAUUGGCCAAAAAAAGUAAAGAUUAAUAAAUCAUAAAAUAUUAUCUUUUUUAGUUUUCCCCUUUGACUUCAAUUUCCACUUUCACACUUCCCUCUUUCACUGAAGAACGCUCUUUCACUAAACAAUGAAUGAACAAUGAAUGAGAUAAUGAACAACUGGUAAGAGAAGUGAAGAGAGUUGAGAAUGGAUUAUCUUCUGUGAUUUGGGAGAACAACUCCCUAAAGAGUUGAAGUCAUAGAAGAACUGAGCUGAAGAAUUGAAGAUUUAAAGUCACUGAUAGUUCAAGUCGUCUCUCCGAUAAUGAAUUCUUGAAGAGAAUUGGAUACUUUGGGGUUGUUGGCAAUAUGAUGAAAUAAAGCUAAAUAGUCUCUUUGUCACGUUUUUCUCUCCAAUUUCUCACUGAAGAGAAGGAUUUCAGACUGAUUUUGUUAGAAUAGGAUUUAUCAGUGCCUUUUUUAGCCUACCUUGUGAACACUAUCUACAGUAGAUCAGAUCAGUCUCAAGGUCCAUUGAUGAGGAGAAUUCCAUUGUUGAGAGGUAUCAUCAUGACUUUCUCUGUCACGUCUCAUAGUUGGAUUACUUUUUACUGAACUUAUUAUUGUUAGGUGGUAGUUAUAAUGGUGAAGAUUUAGGGCAUCAAAAUGUGUAGGUUGUGGUUUUGGGAUCAUUUGAUUUGCUGUUUUGAGAGUCUAUUUCGAUGUGUAAGCCUUAUUUUCUUCUCCAGGUUAAAUAUACCUCAUCGUUCAGUUUUUCCCUGCAACUUCAUUUUCUAUGGUUCAUCUUUUUUUUUUUGGGUAACAACUAUCAACAUUACUAUUCAACCAAAAAACAUUUACAUCUUAAAGAGCACCUAUUCCUGGAACAGUCAUAGGACUCCAACAAACAGAAAAACUAAUUACAUAUUGUUGCAAUCCCAUUAUUUUGAAUGUUUGCACCUGUCCAAAUGUUGAUCUUACUCCACAUAUCAUGUAUUUGCACUCAUCAUUAAAAGUAGACUCACUCUGUUAGAUGAAAAGUUCCGAUGAAUAUAGAGAACAUGAAAAUGUUAGAUGAACAAUUCAUAUGAGUCUUAAGAGUACACUAAGUUUUGGAUUUUCUAAGCAAUUUGUGAGUGAGUAUAAAAUUGGGGAGGAAGUGGAUUGAGGCCAAUUCGGGUAUACUUGUUCUACUAUUGUGAAGAAGGUGAGCUUGAAGGAUCAAAAAGUUCUUCGACUGCAUAUUGAAUUACCUACAAUGUCUGAUUGUUGAAGUACAUGGUGGGUAAAAUUUGUCAAUUUUAUGAGUCCAUCAUUCAUCUUUCAUCAAGUUUGGGGUUUUAGAUUUGUUCUCUCUGUAUGUCAGAAACACCAUUAGAUUUUAUGAGUCCAUAUUCUGCAGCCAAUGUUCUUUUUUAUUUUCUACUAAUAUUUGUUGUGUUUAGAAGGAGUUGAUUACUUUGUGGUUGUUGAAAUGAAACAAAUUACGAGUUACAAAUAAAAUUCCAAAGAACGAGAAGAAAGUGUCAAAGAUCAUGAACAUUAAAGUGAGUCCUAUGCAUAUUCAGUAGGCGAGAUACAUUGAAUUACUACUUGGAAGCAUUUGAAUCAGUAAGUAUAUAUCUUGUUUAUAGUGCGUUCAACUUUUUUUAUUCCUCUUCUAUUCAUUAAUAGCUUGUUUUAACUUUCAUUUAACCUUUAUAAGGUUCAUUUUUAGCAUCACAACUUGUUCUAUUUCUUUCACUUUGUAAAUUCAAGUGAUUGAUGAUAUGUCCUUGUUUUGUAGUUUGUCUAGGUGUAACUAUAUCAAUGGGUGUUGAAUGUGCCUCAAGAAUUUGCCUUGAGUCUUGCAGCCAGAGUUUAAAACAUUGUAUAGGGAGCUGGCUCUGUAAUCUGAAUCUAAUUUGAAAUAUUGUAUAAAGCUAUUACUUUUAUAGUUUUAUACCUUUGCAUAUGCACAUUUUGAUCAAAUUUUUUUAUAAACCAAGAUGAUCUGGCGGAUCUAGUUUCAUAUUGAUGAUCAUAUUUGUGGGGGUGGGGUUGUGAUGCAAAUUCCCAAUUUCAGUGAUGUAGCCAUAUUGUUGGUUAUAAUUCAUGAAUCAUUGUUUAUAUUGUUUAUUUAGCAAGUCGAUGCAGGGUCAACUUCCCGGGCUUGUCGUUGAUAAAAAUAGAGUCGAGGUUUUGCAGCCUAUGAUAGGAUAUUUGCUAUCAUUUGAUCUGAGCUGACUCUUUUGAAAUUCAUGUUUUGUAUGCUCACUGCAGAAUACAGAGACAUCACUGAUAUCUACAACUGGUAGUCUAUGAUCCUAGUAAACUACUUCUUCUGGCCUAAUUAAGCGCAUUUGAUUCACAAGCAGUUUCAAGAUUUUUCACAUUGAUGUACUGUAUUAAAAAAAAACUCUUCGUUCGCUUUGAUCUGGUUUAGUAUUCAUAUUUUAGGGUAUCUUUCUUUUCAUGCCUGAAAAAGUUAAUUUUUUGCUCUUAUCUUUUGUAUGUUGUUGCCUAACAGUGACUCUUUUGAUUGAACUGAAAUUUAGUUAAUGACAUUAGGAGAAAUAUGAGGCUAUAAGGAUUUAUAAUUUAUAAGUUAAAGCUAAAUAAAAAAUUUGAUUUAAUACUGAAAGACAAUGUCCUACUUGUUCAUUAUGCCCUUAAAUGUACAACCAUCACCUCUUGCAGCCUGUAAGUACUAGUUAUAAUAUUCUCUUUUUUCUUGAAGUAUCUCUCCUCCUAGAUGAUCCAUGUAUGUGUGGAGAGUAUGAACACUUUUUUUAUCAGAACAUUUAAUGGUGGAACUUGUAAUAGGGUCUUGAAAACUAAGUCAAGAACUUCUUGAUCUUGACAAUUAAUGCCCUACUUAGGGAUCUUAUCUUCUAUUUUAUGGCUUAAAAUUUAGAAUUUUUUUAUUUUCCACUCAAGGUUUAUUCUUAGUGCCUAAAACAAGGAAUUAGAAGUUUCAUAUAAAUUCUUGGUUUAUGAUUCAUAAUCUGAUAAGUUUCAUGUUUACACAGUGAUACUUUCAAUGAGAACACUCCACCAACUGAUGAUUCAACAUAUAUUUCAUCUCUCGGAUCUGCUGUGUACAAAGCAAUGUCAAAAGCAAUAGCAACGCAGUGUGGUUGAUGCAAGGCUGACUAUUUUAAACUUACUCCAAAACUGGAAGUCAGCACAGAUGGAGGAAAAUGUUGUGGAUUGAGUUUUGAUGUCUAGAGGACAAAAGUACACUCGAUCUAUUGUAGUGAACGAUAAAGACUAUUAUCAUAAAUGUUGUUUGAAUACAUUUGGUUUUGUGGAAUGUAUUUCUAGUAAAUAUUUUUAAGUAAUUUCUUUCUAUAUGUAUGGCCAUAUUCUUGAAGUUUAUUCAAUUUGAAAUAUAUUAUUUUGGAUUAAUUAUAA